AUUGAACGCUGGCGGCAUGCCUUACACAUGCAAGUCAACGGGCAGCACGGGUGCUUGCACCUGGUGGCGAGUGGCGAACGGGUGAGUAAUAUAUCGGAACGUACCUUAUCGUGGGGGAUAGCGCAGCGAAAGCUGCGCUAAUACCGCAUACGCCCUGAGGGGGAAAGCGGGGGACCGUAAGGCCUCGCGCGAUUAGAGCGGCCGAUAUCUGAUUAGCUUGUUGGUGGGGUAAAAGCCCACCAAGGCGACGAUCAGUAGCUGGUCUGAGAGGACGAUCAGCCACACUGGGACUGAGACACGGCCCAGACUCCUACGGGAGGCAGCAGUGGGGAAUUUUGGACAAUGGGGGCAACCCUGAUCCAGCAAUGCCGCGUGAGUGAAGAAGGCCUUCGGGUUGUAAAGCUCUUUUGUCAGGGAAGAAACAGCAGCUCUAACACAGUCUGCGAAUGACGGUACCUGAAGAAUAAGCACCGGCUAACUACGUG
rnacentral:rRNA from 1 species